UUUUUUUUUUGCUAGCAUGGUUGAGACUACGUCACAAAAUAAUGUCAGUAGAGCAGUGGAUCUCUAACCAUGAUGGUAUGCGGACCCCAAAAAUAGCCUAUAAUCUCAAUAAACACUCUGAUGAGGUCUGCUCGUCAACUGAAAGUUAUAACAUCACAGCUGGACAUUUUGGAAGACAUGAAAAAUGAGUUUGAAAACCUACUUGCUAAUAUCAAUAAUGUUUUGCAGAAAGGAUUCAAAUGGAUAAAUGAUGAGAGCAAUGAACUAAGUUUUAUGGAAUUGAAUCAAUUACUUGCAAAUGGAACUUCAGAAUGUUUAACCAAAUGUCUUGUUAUUGCAGAUGGAAGUGAACAAUCAUCUCAUCAAAUUCUUACCAAAGAAACAGAAAAUACAGAUGUUUUAUCAUCAACUUCUUGCUCAAGUUCAAGUAGUCAAGAUGAUUUUCAGAAAAUUAAGGCAGACAUAUCUGAAAUAGAAAAGUCACAGUCUAAAAAAUUUAAGCUAAUAAAUCAAAAGUUGGCAAGCCUUGAAAAACAAACUAUGGAAACUAACUUAAACGAUAUAGACACAAAAUAUAGUUCAAAAUUUGAAGAGAUUAUGAAAGAAUUUCAUUCUGCCAGUGAGUUUAUGUCACAUCUACAAUCUCAGAAUGAAACGUUAGCUAAUAUAGUGAAGGAGAAAACUGAAGAAAUAAAUGGCAUACAUCAGACACUUAAUGACAUCAAAGCACAAAGCAUAACCAGUUCUAGUAAUUUUAUUUCAACUGAUACUCAAACUUGUGAUGAAGUUUGUGAAAAGCUAUUAGACAACACCAAAAUGGUUGAGGCAUUGCAGUCUCUAUCAGCAAAAGUAAAUGCAAUGGAAUUUAAAUUUAACAACAUAUCCACAGUAGUAGGUGAACCAGAGAAAUGUGUGGAUAAUCUCUCAGAUGACACAACAUCACUUAAACUUUCCAUGGAGAAAAUGUUAAAGGAUAUAAAAGACAGAUGCUUUAGAAAAUAAAGUCACAAUCGUUGAUAAAAAGAUUGAUGAAUUAAAUGAGGACAUACAGUUUCAGUUAUUGUCUUGUGACCAGUUUGCUGUAGGAUUUGAUGCAUGUGUUGAUGGAGACAUUUCAGUGAAGUUUAACUUAAAAAAGAACAGAGUUUUAACCUGUUUUAAUAAAGUACUGGAAGAUGUGCAAGAUGACUUUGAUGCAACAACAGGGAUUUUUACAGUACCAUGUGAUGGCUUAUACCUGUGCUGUCUGUUUAUUGAUAUCGUUACCUUUGUGCAGUAUAAUUUGCAGUUUUGUAUUUAUGUCAAGAACAGUGAAGGCUCUGAAAAUGUUAUUGCCACAUGUCACUGUAGACACAGAGACACCAUUGUCAGCGAUGUUGCAAUACGACAAUUAGAAAAGGGGGAUAAAGUUUUUGUAAUGUCAUGUGAUAACCACAAAAAGAUACAAUUGAGCCAAUAUUCCCAUUUUAUUUGUGUAUUAUUAAAGAAAAUAUAAUAUUAGUAGCCUACAAAUGCAAGAGCAUUU